AAGUGAGGAUGAACACCCGAGGUAUUGAGUUUCCUGUAUCCAUCAUUUUGGACGAGUUGGGAGCUUGGAAUAGCCCCAGCAGCGUCUGUGUUAGCCAGCCGUAACUGACAUUGAGUGCAUUGUUUGCAGUGGGAAGCUCACGGCUGUGGCCUAAAGAGGGCUGUUUCCUCUGUGAGCUCGGCCAGAAGAUAAGAGAAAUGACUAAGGGCAGGAGACAAGCUAAUGGGGGAAGAGCUUUCCCAUGGCCAACCAAACUACUAGCAGCUGGCCAUCUGCAAAAACACUACAAAAGAGCAGUGAGCGACUGGAGCAAGCGUGGACAUUUUGAAAAUCCAGCUUCACUCUCUGAUGUGCACAGAGGAAUUUUAAGCCUUAGAUCCGUGACAAAUGCAAUUAUCCUUCUCCUCAUAUCCGUGUUUCCAGUUGAAAGUUCAGAUCAGAUUUUGGACUUUUGUUUGCUGCUGCAAAAAAAGGGUUUCGUUUAUUAACCUCUCUUUGAAUCUCUGUGUUCACCUAGCUCACCUCUGUCAGGCUCAUGAUGCUAUGUCUCUUCUUGUUUUCAUGAUGUUUUUUUUUUUUUUUUUUUUAUCGGAUUUCCCUCUGAUUAUUUUGCCCUUGUGACCAAGUGUUGAAUUAAAUGCCUAAUUU